GCUCGCUUCGGCCCCGGCGCGGUGCUCGGAGCCGGCGGGGUGGGUGCGGUGUCUCUGCCCCGUGACGGGUGACGCCGCAGCGCUGCCAACUGCAGCAGCAGCACAAGGUAAUCAUUCCUACUGUCUCAUAUUGUCUCAGAAUUCUGUGGAACUGGAGCUAAUACUGUGCUUGUGACUAGUGGUUCUUCCAUUAAACUGGUAUGAAACCUGAAAAGUUACUCUGGAAAAAGUUAUUAAUCACGCAGCCUGCAUUUAGCAUGCACAAAGGCUAGCCAGAACCAGGCCUUCCAGAAGUAUGGAACUCUUGCUUCCUUGCGUGAAGCUGACCCCAGACACAAGUUGAUAACAGCAAUUUUCUGCGGCCAGGAGCACCCAGUUCCAAUACUCUCUACAACAAUUUCCAAGACUUCAAGCCUCUUUUGCGUCACACAGAGAGGGCAGCGACUGCAGUGCUGUGAGUUUACCUGGGAAUGGUACAUAAUUAAAUCUUAGACAGAGAGCUCUAAAUACUAAAUGUUUUUGAUUCAUGGUAGGCAGCACGCCAGGACAUGCCUAGAUUGACCAUGAUGCAAUGUGACCAGAAGAGAGCUGCUGGUCUCAAAUGUCUUUUCCUCAUGCAAGAGAAGACCUGAAGCGUCCAAAGAAGAGUCCAUGUGCCCAAGGGUUUUUUCCAAAAAUUUCUUGAACUCUGUCAGGCUUGGUGCUGUGGCCAUUUCCCUGGGGAGCCUGUUCCAGUGCCCAACUAGCCUCAGGGUGAAGAACCUUUUUCUGAUAUCCAACCUAAACCUCCCCUGACAUAGCUUCAUGCCAUUUCCUUGAGUCUUGGUACUGGGACCACAGAGAAGAGAUCACUGUCUGCCCCUCCCUUCCCCUCAUGAGGAAGUUGAAACUGCAAUGGGGUCUCCCCUUAGUGUCCUCCAGCUUGAACAGAACAAGUGACCUCAGCUGCUCCUCAUAUGGUUUCUCCUCAAGGCCCUACAUGGGGCUCUUUAUGUGCAUCUUCAUUGAUGUCAAAGUGAGGAAAAUGCUGUGAUGUGUUUUCUUUUCCCUGCUGUCCAACAAGGUCCCCAGGGGCUGUUACUCCAUCCAGCUUCAUCUCUCCCAUACUACAAGUGGAGUGCUACAGCUUUUGUAUGGUGUGCCUACUGUGCCUCUCCUCAAAAAGAAAAAUAUAAUUUAUUUAAAAUAUACAUAACAUAUGUUUGAGGCCAUACUUGUUAAUUUGUGGAACCAGAAUGCCUUUUUUUAUUUUCAUUCUUGAAUUUGCCUACUGUGAAGUGCUCUGUGUUGUUACAGCAGUUGUGCUGACAUUGAGUUGGUCAAGAUCUUGUGAUACUAGUCUUUCCACUACUGCAAAGAUUUUUUUUUUUCUUCACUUCUCUAGGGAAUACUGAGGUUAUGAGAUUCUGUACAGAAUUAUUUUCUGCAACAGUAACUGGCAACACACAUCUCUGCUUAUGUGGAGGUCUCUCUGCAAUGCCCAGGCUGUGUGUUUUAGGCUUUAGGUCAUCCCAGUUCACCACUUACUUCUCUGUCAGGUCUGGGCCAUGAAAUACAGAAGCUGAAGUUAUUGGUGACCAGUCACCCAGAUACUUAGCUGACAUAUCCAAAAGGUUGGAUAAGUUUAUGAUCGAUAAGAAAUCCAUGUAACUACAGAGCUGAAGAAGGCAACAAGCAAAUGAUGCAAUGCACUAACCACUGACCAAGGAAAACUAUGCACUUCCACACAUAUACUCAGUCUUCACAGGAGAGUGGUUCCUCUGUAGCCUCUGGAAUUGCCUGCUACUGGAGACAGGGCUCAGUGGAGUAAUUACUUUAGUCAUGACGACAGAUACUCCAAUGACAUCAGUGGAAAUCCUUUUCAUGGUGCUGAAUUACAGUUUGACAGCAGCAAUCUCAUGACACACUCCUUCUGAUUCUGCACCUGCGUCGUGACAACUGUAUUGCUUGGUUACAUGAAAACAAUAUCACUGCCUAAGGGGAAGACAAAAUGACAAUAAAUUUAUUUUUAUGAGA